rfam:Wallemia ichthyophaga EXF-994 unplaced genomic scaffold scaffold27, whole genome shotgun sequence.
UUUAAUAUGCUGAAAUUGGUAGACAGGCUCGUUUUAGGUACGAGUGACAAUUAUGUCAUGGCGGUUCGAGUCCGCCUAUUUGUA